CAAAAUCUCAACUUUAUUAGAAGAGACGCAUUUAUUAGAUAAAAAGCCAAUGCAUGCUUUUACAGUAUGAAAAUUGGUGAUUUAUAAUAACUUAGCAAAUCGCAUAGUGAAAACAGGCGAUAAAUCAUUCAAGUUUCUGACCUAUCAGCUUUCGACGGUAUGGUAUUGGCUUACCGUGGCAGUGACGGUUAACGGGGGAUUAGGGUUCGAUUCCGGAGAGGGAGCCUGAGAAACGGCUACCACAUCUAAGGAAGGCAGCAGGCGCGCAAAUUACCCAAUUCUAACAGUUUGAGAGAGGUAGUAACAAGAAAUAACAAUACAAGGCAGUUAAAAUGCUUUGUAAUUGGAAUGAUAGAAAUUUAAACCCUUUUUAAAGUAUCAAUUGGAGGGCAAGUCUGGUGCCAGCAGCCGCGGUAAUUCCAGCUCCAAUAGCGUAUAUUAAAAUUGUUGCAGUUAAAAAGCUCGUAGUUGAAGUUCUGCUAAAAGUAACCGGUCUGCUUUGAAUAAAAGUGGUAUCUUGGUAUGUAUUUAGCAAUGAUGUCCUUUGAAGUGUUUUUUACUUUAUUGUAAUAAAGCAUAUUCAGGACUUUUACUUUGAGAAAAUUAGA
rnacentral:rRNA from 1 species